rnacentral:tRNA from 1 species
GCGGGUGUAGCUCAGUGGUAGAGCAGUUGCUUAGCAUGCUAAAGGCUCUAGGUUCCAUUCUUAGCACUGCCA